rnacentral:rRNA from 1 species
UUAUUUAUUUUAUUAUAUUUAUUUUUUGUAAUUUUAAUUAGGUAAUAAAAGUAAUUUUUUUAAGUUUUGUUUUAGUAUAUUUUAUAGAAUAAAUUAUUUUAAUUAUAGUUAAGUAGUAAUGUAAAUGUGUUAUGAAAUAUUCAUUAAAUUUAUUAAAGUAUAUUUUAUUUAUAGUACCUUUUGUAUCAGGGUGAAUCAAAAUUUUUGUAGUUAUUUACUUAUCUCGAUUUGGGUUGAUCUAUAAACAAAUUAUAGUUAAUGUUUCAUAAUUAUUAUUAAUUUGUUUAUAGAAAUGAGAUGUUAAUCGUUUCCUAAGAUAUCUAGUUUCUUAAGAAAAAUUUUAAAUUUUUAAGGUAGGUGUUCUUGUUUAAUUUUAAAAUUAAAGAAUACUAUCCUGUUUAUUCUUCAGGGGAUAAGCUCUGAAGGKUUAUAAUAUAAACUAUAAUUUUUUGUUUUUGAAUAUAAUGGUAGGCUUUAAACCAGCCAUCAAUUUUGAUUACGKUUUAGKUCAUUCUUUUUUAUUUCUUAUUUUAUAAUUAUUUUAGKUUUUUUAUUAAGAURAUAAAUUUAAUUUUUWAAWUUUUGUAAUAAUGGUUUAAUUAGUAUAUUUCUUUGUUUAUUAUAAUUUAUUUUGUGAAUUUAUUAUAAGGAACUAGGCAAUUAUGAUUUCCGCCUGUUUAUCAAAAACAUGUCCUCUUGUAUUAUAUUUUGAGGUCUAGCCUGCUCMCUGAUGAAAUUAGAWUUAAAGAGCCGCGGUAUCUUGACCGUGCAAAGGUAGCAUAAUCAUUAGUCUCUUAAUUGGAGGCUGGAAUGAAUGGUUUAACGAGAAAUCAACUGUCUCUUAUUAAAUUAUAGAAUUUAACCUUUAAGUUAAAAGGCUUAAAUUUUUCUUAAGGACGAGAAGACCCUAUAGAUCUUAAUAUUUAAAUUUGGUAUAAUUUCCUGAUAGUUUUUUUAUAGUUAAUGUAAAUAUUUUGUUGGGGUGACAUGAAGAAUAAAUAAACUCUUCAUUAUUUAAUCAUUAAUUUAUGUCUAAUUGAUCCAUAAUUUAUGAUCAUAAGAUUAAGUUACCUUAGGGAUAACAGCGUAAUUGUUUUAGAGAGCUCAUAUCAACAAAGCAGAUUGCGACCUCGAUGUUGGAUUAAGAAAAAUUUUGAGUGCAGUAGCCCAAAAAUUAGGUCUGUUCGACCUUUAAAUUCUUACAUGAUCUGAGUUCAGACCGGCGUGAGCCAGGUCGGUUUCUAUCCUAAGAUAAAUGGUUCACGUUAGUACGAAAGGACCAUGUGAAUGGAAUAAUUUUUUAGUUUUGAUUGAAAUUAAUUAUUU